CUUACUACGACGUCGUCGUCAACAUGUUUCGGUUGGUCGUCAUGCCUUUUUCAUGUUAAGCACCACUCUGAAUGCUUUUAUUUCUGAUUUCCAUUUGUAGUUGUGCAGCACAAGUGACCCAUACUAGUUGCUGCUUGCUGCUUCGAGUCAUCAACAUGCAAAGUACCAGAUAGUCGAUUCCUUUUUCUAAUUAUAUACUGUUGUGAUACCAACUGCUUCAGAUCGAUUCUGAUUCUCACCGAUUCCAGCUUAUCAUUCAUUCAUGUUGGUAAAGAACCAGACUUUGGAUUCCGAUAUUGAGGGAUAAGAUUGGUAUUGUCCCUCACCUGCUUGAGGAAUAGUCGAACACCAAAUGUUGCUCUGAGCCAUUACAUUGGUAAAGGACCAGACUUUUGAUUCCUUCAAUAAGAGAUAAGAUUGCUAUUGUCCCAACAUUCAGGAACAACAGUUGUUGCUAUGAGCCACCAUAAUGCGAGUUACCACACUAUUGUAUUUCCAUUUUAUAAUGGUCAUUGUGACGGUUUCACAGCUUGCAGUUUCAUGAAGAGUUACUGUCUACGAUAACAUUAAAUCAAAAGAAUUUGAAAGGUGUUACGGAGUUCUAUUUUUGCAGUUUCAUGACCUUUCUUUUCUUCGGUUUGUUGUAUACAAUUGGUUUUUUUUCAAGUCGUACACGAAAUCGUUUUUCCUCUGUUCGCAAAAUAGCAAAAA